GUAACUAAGGGCCUGAUCCAAAGCUCACUGAAGUCAUUAGAAAUCUUUUUGUUGUCUGCACUGAGCUUUGGGUUAGGCCCUUACUCC
rnacentral:pre_miRNA from 1 species